rnacentral:rRNA from 1 species
UACGGGGGAUGCAAGCGUUAUCCGGAAUUAUUGGGCGUAAAGGGUCCUGAGGUGGCUAGCCAAGUCUAUUGUGAAAUAUCAGGGCUUAACCCUGAACAUGCGGUGGAAACUAGAAAGCUUGAGUACAGUAGGGGCGGAGGGAAUUUCCGGUGGAGCGGUGAAAUGCAUAGAAUAUCGGGAAGAACACCAACGGCGAAAGCACUCUGCUGGGCCGACACUGACACUGAGAGACGAAAGCUAGGGGAGCGAAUGGG